rnacentral:rRNA from 1 species
ACGAACGCUGGCGGCGUGCUUCACACAUGCAAGUCGAACGGAAAGGCCCUGCUUUUGUGGGGUGCUCGUGUGGCGAACGGGUGAGUAACACGUGAGUAACCUGCCCUUGACUUUGGGGUAACUUCAGGAAACUGGGGCUCAUACCGGAUAGGAGCUCCUGCUGCAUGGUGGGGGUUGGUAAGUUUCGGCGGUUGGGGAUGGACUCGCGGCUUAUCCGCUUGUUGGUGGGGUAGUGGCUUACCAAGGCUUUGACGGGUAGCCGGCCUGGGAGGGUGACCGGCCACAUUGGGACUGAGAUACGGCCCAGACUCCUACGGGAGGCAGCAGUGGGGAAUAUUGCACAAUGGGCGGAAGCCUGAUGCAGCAACGCCGCGUGCGGGAUGACGGCCUUCGGGUUGUAAACCGCUUUCGCCUGUGACGAAGCGUGAGUGACGGUAAUGGGUAAAGAAGCACCGGCUAACUACGUG